rnacentral:rRNA from 1 species
UACGAAGGGGGCUAGCGUUGCUCGGAAUUACUGGGCGUAAAGCGCACGUAGGCGGAUUGUUAAGUCGGGGGUGAAAUCCUGGAGCUCAACUCCAGAACUGCCUUCGAUACUGGCGAUCUCGAGUCCGGGAGAGGUGAGUGGAACUGCGAGUGUAGAGGUGAAAUUUGUAGAUAUUCGCAAGAACACCAGUGGCGAAGGCGGCUCACUGGCCCGGUACUGACGCUGAGGUGCGAAAGCGUGGGGA